rnacentral:rRNA from 1 species
CCUACGGGGGGCAGCAGUGAGGAAUAUUGGUCAAUGGGCGAGAGCCUGAACCAGCCAAGUCGCGUGAGGGAGUACUGCCCUAUGGGUUGUAAACCUCUUUUGUCGGGGAGCAAAAGCCGGACGUGUCCGGCUGUGAGAGUACCCGAAGAAAAAGCAUCGGCUAACUCCGUGCCAGCAGCCGCGGUGAUACGUAGGGGGCAAGCGUUGUCCGGAUUUACUGGGUGUAAAGGGCGUGCAGCCGGAGAGACAAGUCAGAUGUGAAAUCCACGGGCUCAACCCGUGAACUGCAUUUGAAACUGUUUCCCUUGAGUGUCGGAGAGGUAAUCGGAAUUCCUUGUGUAGCGGUGAAAUGCGUAGAUAUAAGGAAGAACACCAGUGGCGAAGGCGGAUUACUGGACGAUAACUGACGGUGAGGCGCGAAAGCGUGGGGAGCAAACAGGAUUAGAUACCCCUGUAGUC